rnacentral:tRNA from 1 species
GCCUCGGUGGCGUAGUGGUCAAGACGCUCGCCUAAACAGGAGGGCGUGGGUUCGAUCCCAGCCGAGGCA